GCCCCAGUAGCUCAGAGGAACAGAGCGGCUGCCUUCUAAGCAGAUGGUCGCAGGUUCGAAUCCUGCCUGGGGUA
rnacentral:tRNA from 1 species